UGCUCGACGGGCCGCGUGCUUCCAUCGUGGCUUGCCCUUUUUCUCGUCCGUGUGCACGCGUGAACAGCCAGCAGGGCGCACACAGGAGCGUGACCAUCACCGACACGAAGAUCCAGCGCUGCCGUGGUGUGCUUGCGCGACCCCUUUUGCUUGCUUCACGUCCGCUUUUAGCCGCCCCCCUCCUCAUCUUCUUCCCCUCUCCCUAGCCGCAUCGCCGCAAAGGUGCCAGCGCACGCGACCGAGGAAAAGGAGGGCGAGACGAUGGGUGACACCGGAGGUGCGUUCAUGCAACGAACUAGAGGUCGAAUAAAGAACACACACACACACACACACACAUCGGCGCUGCACUCAGGAAAUCGUUAUCCGCUGUGGCAGCCGACCCCGGGCGCAACAAGCGGUCCUUUUCUCCGCUGCUCUACCUGCCUCCCCACCGCCUACGGUGUCUCCUCGCUUCUUCUCGCCAGUAGUGCGUGAUACAGGCACCCUCUCGUCGCCGCUGUUGCUCAGUCGGCAGGCAUGCCGCUGCCGUGGCAGUCGCUAUCCCACACACAGGCAAGCCAGAUGGAUAAGAAGACGGCUCUCGCACAGCUGCGGCAGUCGAAGUUUGUCUAUGAGCGCGGCCUUGAGCGGCAGGAGGCGGAGCGGCGGGCAAAGCUGCACCGUUUUCUUGAUCAGCACAAGCACGCAAGCCAGUGGGCAACGUCUCUCGCGGCCCUUGUGGACGCGGUGCGGCACGGCGUGAUGCCGAGCGAUGCGGCUCUGUGCCGCGCCAUGUGCCAGUGUGGACAACGUGGGCAGCUCCAGGCUGCAAAGCAGGUGUACGUUGAUCUCUACCGCCGGAUCGGUCGCCCCCGCCCCCUAAGGGCCCAUGUGGCUUUCAUGGCUGCCUGUGCCGACGCCGGCGAUUUCGCUGAGGCGCAUCGACAAUUUCGUGCGCUGCGUGACCGAGAUCUCGCGCAGCGCGCUAAGAAUGCGUCGCACUGCCCAGUGGUGAACGACGACCUCACAACCGAGUACUUGCGCGCCGCGCUGUGUGCAUCGCUCGGGCGGCGGCCUGCCAGCGGGGAGGAGAGACCCGCUGCCGCCGCCGGCGCGGCCCCAAUACCCGUCACACGCACGCAGGGCAGCUCAGCAUCGGAGCCUUUUCAGAGUAGGCGUUCCCCCACGAUGACGAAGGAGGAGGGAGCGCGCCCGGCUGAGCGUGGCAGCAUGCAUCGCGGCCCCGAUGACUUCUGCGGCGGCAAGCCACGCGCAGAUGCCACGAAGCAGGACGCUGACGAUGUGCCCGCUUCCUCUCCUUGGAAAGUUGCGUUAGAGGAGUUCGUCGCCCUGCGCAGGAACGCCGAGGUGUUUCGCAAGAACAACGAGCUGACACCGCUGCUGCUGGAAACGGCUACCCAGCUGGCCUGCGUAGGCCGACAGUGGCAGCUGUGUCUUUCGAUUCUCCGCGGCGCCGAAGCUGAGCAGGCGCUCAUCCCGCCGGAGGCGUACGAUGCGUCGAUUCGUGCGUGCUACCAAGCACAGAAGCACACCCAGGUUGUGCGGCUCAUGGAGCAGCUUAUAGCGACGCGCGCGCCACCCGAUGAGCGGAGCGUGCGACUGGCGCUGGCGGCGUCGGAAGAGGUCUCAGCGGAAGAGCGCGUCCAGCAGACGUUCUCAUCUUCGGCGAUCGACGGUGUUGGUAGAGGUGGGCGUGGGUGGUCGAUGGCGCUCACACUCUUUCAAGCUCUUGAGCGCAACGGCUUUCCGCUAUAUCAGCAGAGCUACGAAGCACCGCUGCGGGCGUGUGCCUACGCUGGUCGGUGGAAAGAAGCCUUUCAGAUGUUGGACGUAAUGCGGCGCGAUAACCGGCCUGUAUCCGCCCCCGUGUACGCGCAGGCGCUAGCCUCGCGAAUCGAAGCAGCCACCACGUGGGCAGAAGUCCGUCGGCUGAUGCGAGCGUCCAGUCUUGCGGAGGGGCACGCGAGCGUCGUGGUACUCUAUCUUGCAGCGCUGCGAGCCUGCAUGCGGCUGCGCGACUGGAAGCACUUUGCCGAGCUGAACCGGGAGAUGCGGGACCGCGACAUUCCGGAAACGUACGACAAGAUGCGACUGCUGAUCGAGGCAGCCUACCUGCAGGAGCAGUACCACAGCGUGCUCAUGCGAUUUGCUCGGUUUGAGAACAUUACGCAGUACGAGCGCCGCCGCGUUGUCGACGACAAGCGUGUGCGCCUCUAUGAGGAGGACUUUGCUCUGCCCCCGGCACUACUAGACAUGGUGCUGGCGGCAUUCGAGAAGGUAAAGGGACACGCAGAUCCUAUGGUGGAGGCCGCGUACCAAGCCGCGCUGCGGCACAAGGAGCGGGGGAGUGGCGGACAGAGCCUCGCCGGCGCCCACACCGCCCCGGACGAGUGGAUGUACUCACAGAAGGCCCGUGAGGCGCGUACUUCACCCGAGUUUCACUGAAAUCUCUGUCUUCCAGAUCGCAGCGAAAAACAGCCGCGCUGGUGUUGUGAGGGGCCGCGGGACAUGAGCAACACUGUGCGGUCUAUGCCUCUCGGCACUGCCGCGUCUGCAGAGGGGGCGAGUCGAGUGGGCAUCGUGAACGCGUCUCUGCUUUCUCGCUCUCACGCUCUCCAGCGCUGAUCAGCGAGGCGCGAAAGAAAGGUAGAAGGCUUCAGUCCUCCGCUUACCGUCUGCAACACAACACUCAGCAGAGGCACCCAAGGCGCUCUGUGCUGUUACCGAGAGAACGAUCGACGUCGAGCAAAGGGCGAAGGAAUUCCACACUCACGAGGGAGGUCCUCCGCAAUCACUGUGGCACAUACAAACCUGCGCGCAUGCACCUCUGACGUCCUCGCUGAAGGCCAGAAGAGCUAAGCAAGCACGCUCACACGUACGCAAUGAGAGGCUCUCCCCACGAAUUCGAAUGGACAUACCAGUCUCACAAC
rnacentral:misc_RNA from 1 species